ACUGCUCAGUAACACGUAGCUAACCUACCCUCGGGACGGGGAUAAUCCCGGGAAACUGGGGCUAAUACCCGAUAGGUGUGGAUUCCUGGAAUGGUGCCAUGCCUAAACGUAAGCGCAUCCAUGUUUGCGUGCACGCCCGAGGAUGGGGCUGCGGCCGAUCAGGCAGUUGGUGAGGUAACGGCUCACCAAACCUUUGACCGGUACGGGCCAUGAGAGUGGUAGCCCGGAGAUGGGCACUGAGACAAGGGCCCAGGCCCUACGGGGCGCAGCAGGCGCGAAACCUCCACAAUUCACGCAAGUGAGAUGGGGUUACCUCGAGUGCCGCCUGAAGAAGGCGGCUUUUCCAUGGUGUAAUGAGCCGUGGGAAUAAGGGGGGGGCAAGACUGGUGUCAGCCGCCGCGGUAACACCAGCCCCCCGAGUGGUGGGGAUGAUUAUUUGGCCUAAAGCGUCCGUAGCCGGCUCGGUAAAUCUCUCGUUAAAUCCAGCGUCCUAAGCGUUGGGCUGCGAGGGGAACUGCCGAGCUAGAGGGUGGGAAAGGUCAGCGGUAUUCCUGGGGUAGGGGCGAAAUCCAUUGAUCCCAGGAGGACCACCAGUGGCGAAGGCUGCUGACUAGAACACGCCUGACGGUGAGGGACGAAAGCUGGGGUAGCGAAUCGGAUUAGAUACCCGAGUAGUCCCAGCCGUAAACGAUGCAGGCUAGGUGUUGGGUCGGCCACGCGCCGCCUCAGUGCCACAGGGAAGCCAUUAAGCCUGCCGCCUGGGGAGUACGGCCGCAAGGCUGAAACUUAAAGGAAUUGGCGGGGGAGCAC
rnacentral:rRNA from 1 species